UGGGGAAUUUUGGACAAUGGGCGAAAGCCUGAUCCAGCAAUGCCGCGUGUGUGAAGAAGGCCUUCGGGUUGUAAAGCACUUUUGUCCGGAAAGAAAUCCUUGGCUCUAAUACAGUCGGGGGAUGACGGUACCGGAAGAAUAAGCACCGGCUAACUACGUGCCAGCAGCCGCGGUAAUACGUAGGGUGCAAGCGUUAAUCGGAAUUACUGGGCGUAAGCGUGCGCAGGCGGUUUGCUAAGACCGAUGUGAAAUCCCCGGGCUCAACCUGGGAACUGCAUUGGUGACUGGCAGGCUAGAGUAUGGCAGAGGGGGGUAGAAUUCCACGUGUAGCAGUGAAAUGCGUAGAGAUGUGGAGGAAUACCGAUGGCGAAGGCAGCCCCCUGGGCCAAUACUGACGCUCAUGCACGAAAGCGUGGGGAGCAAACAGGAUUAGAUACCCUGGUAGUCCACGCCCUAAACGAUGUCAACUAGUUGUUGGGGAUUCAUUUCCUUAGUAACGUAGCUAACGCGUGAAGUUGACCGCCUGGGGAGUACGGUCGCAAGAUU
rnacentral:rRNA from 1 species